GGAGAAGACCGACACCUGGCACCGUGUGGAGCGCAGCAGCGGUCAAUUCGUCCGGCAGUUCCGACUCCCGGAGAAUGCUAAGGUGGAGCAGGUGAAGGCGGCAAUGGAGGACGGUGUCCUGACCGUGACUGUGCCCAAGGAGGAGGUGAAGAAACCUGAGGUCAGAUCCAUUGAUAUCUCGGGUUGAAGCAUCGUUCUGAUUAGCUUUGCGUCAUGUCUCAUCUCGUGUCUGUUCUAGUCAGUGUAUCCCAGGUGUUUGUGAUUAUGUCUCUGUGUCUCCGGUCGUUAGGUCUCUGGUGAAACUUUAUUUUGGUUCUAGUCAGUGUCUCCUAGAUAUCUGAAGUCAGUACUGUCCUCGUACUCGUACUCAACUGCGUGGGUAGAUCU
rnacentral:misc_RNA from 1 species